rnacentral:rRNA from 1 species
UAAGGAAUAUUGGACAAUGGUGGCAACACUGAUCCAGCCAUGCCGCGUGAAGGAUGAAGGCGCUAUGCGUCGUAAACUUCUUUUGAACGGGAGAAACCCUCCGAUCGUGAUCGGAGCUGAUAGUACCGUUAGAAUAAGGGUCGGCUAACUUCGUGCCAGCAGCCGCGGUAAUACGAAGGACCCGAGCGUUAUCCGGAUUCAUUGGGUUUAAAGGGUGCGUAGGCGGAGUGAUAAGUCAGUGGUGAAAUCCUGCAGCUUAACUGCAGAACUGCCAUUGAUACUGUCAUUCUUGAAUACAACUGAUGUGGGCGGAAUGUGCCAUGUAGUGGUGAAAUACUUAGAUAUGGCACAGAACACCGAUUGCGAAGGCAGCUCACAAAAUUGUUAUUGACGCUGAUGCACGAAAGCGUGGGGAUCAAACAG